rnacentral:piRNA from 1 species
UAAGUGUUAGAACCAUGAAAAGUUGUAAGA